UGGGGAAUAUUGCACAAUGGGCGCAAGCCUGAUGCAGCCAUGCCGCGUGUAUGAAGAAGGCCUUCGGGUUGUAAAGUACUUUCAGCGGGGAGGAAGGGAGUAAAGUUAAUACCUUUGCUCAUUGACGUUACCCGCAGAAGAAGCACCGGCUAACUCCGUGCCAGCAGCCGCGGUAAUACGGAGGGUGCAAGCGUUAAUCGGAAUUACUGGGCGUAAAGCGCACGCAGGCGGUUUGUUAAGUCAGAUGUGAAAUCCCCGGGCUCAACCUGGGAACUGCAUCUGAUAUUGGCAAGCUUGAGUCUCGUAGAGGGGGGUAGAAUUCCAGGUGUAGCGGUGAAAUGCGUUGAGAUCUGGAGGAAUACCGGUGGCGAAGGCGGCCCCCUGGACGAAGACUGACGCUCAGGUGCGAAAGCGUGGGGAGCAAACAGG
rnacentral:rRNA from 1 species